UAGCUAAAUGCGGAAGAGAUAAGUGCUGAAAGCAUCUAAGCACGAAACUUGCACCGAGAUGAGUUCUCCCUGAGACUUUAAGUCUCCUGAAGGAACGUUAAAGACGAUGACGUUGAUAGGCCGGGUGUGUAAGCGCAGCGAUGCGUUGAGCUAACCGGUACUAAUGAACCGUGAGGCUUAACCUU
rnacentral:rRNA from 1 species